AGGAAUGUGAAGGAGAGAUUGUGUCAUUUUGACGCAUAUUAUUUAUCUCAUUUAUCAUCUCUUGAGGCAAUAUGAUUAGAGCAUGCAUUUCCAAUGAUAGUCUACCAGUCAGUCCGUGACAACCUGCCAUUAAAAUCUAAUGUGGGACCUAUUGGAUUCCAAAUCCCAAUGCACUAUUUGGACGUGCUCUGCCUUUUGUGGAACUAUCUCAUAAACAGGAGCAAUUGAUGCGGUUCCAUAGACAGAUCCCAGAGACUAUAUUUAUGAAGUGUCUAUGCAGCUACAUAAAAUGUAUGGUUAUGAAGGAGACAUAUAGUUUUCUUUUUCAACACGGUGGCCGGAUAGUUUUAUGGAGCAGGGGUAUAUAUAUAUAUAUAUAAUUGGUUAAAUCA